rnacentral:pre_miRNA from 14 species
AGAAAUAACAUUGGUAGGUACAUCGCCGAUUCAUUUAUAAAAUCUGAGAACGUUUUAUAAAUGAAUCGGCGAUGUACCUACCUAUGUUAUUU